rnacentral:RNase_P_RNA from 1 species
GGCCGCCUCCACAGGGCCUACGGGGGUAAAACCCUGAGGAAACACCGCCCUCCCCGCGGCACCGAGACCCCGCAAGGGGUACGGGUAGAGCCCGUGGCAACGGCACAGAAACGGCACGGUCCCAUAGCCAUGACUAGGAAGGGGCUAUACCCUGGAGAAGCUGUGGGGCGCGGUGAAACGGCCGUCCCUCGGGGAGCAAGGCCGAAAGCGCCUGUGAGGGCCGCGUGAGGCGCAGGUGGGCCGCUGAGCCAGAUGCCCUGUACAGAAGGCGGGUUAUGUGGAGGCGGUC